GUUACAGUCCAUCACGAGAUUACCCAAUUCUUCCAAAGAUGUCAACGGCUCACGGUAAAAGCUGUAGGUGCAAGUCUUCCUCUUCAGCUCUGGGAUGGCUGCCAUCUCUCGACGUGAACAGACUCAUGAAUAAACCUGAGAAAUGAUAUGCAUGUGCAAGUUAGCUUUUUUUUCUUCCCUUUUUUUUUGCAUUAUUUUUUUGAAAAUAAAC
rnacentral:lncRNA from 1 species